UUGCAGAUGUUGAAUGACCUCAGUCUUCUCACGAAGUACAUCCUGCUCUGUGUCUUCCUGUGCAGGUGGUUGAUGUGUGUUGGCCAGUCCAGUUUAUUGUCCAGCCACACCCCAAGGUAUUUGUAUGAAUCCACGACCUCCACCUCAGCCCCCUCCAGUAGUACCGGCUUAGUCUUUGGUCCAUUCCUCCCAAAAUCUAUAACCAGCUCCUUAAUCUUGGAGAAGUUGAGCUCCAGGUGGUUGGUGCGGCACCAGGUGGCAAAGUCCCCCAGCAGACUCCUGUAAUACUCCUCCCUGUUGUCCCUGAUGCACCCCACAAUGGAUGUGUCAUCUGCAUACUUCUGUAUGUGACACAGCUCAGAGUUGUAACAGAAGUCCGAGGUGUAUAGGUUGAAGAGGACAGGUGCCAGCACUGUGUCCUGGGGGCCUCCAGUCCGACCACAGUGUCAGAGAUGGUGUCUUUCAGCCUAACAUACUUAGGCCUGUCUUUGAGGUAGCUGGAGAUCCAUGCCACCAGGCAAGGGUCCACUCCCAUACUAUUCAGUUUGUCUCUGAGCAUGGAGGGCUGGAUGGUGUUGAAUGUACUUGAAAAGUCCAGGAAGCGAAUCCUUGCCGUGGCACUUCCCUAAUCCAGGUGGGAAUGGGCUCGUGUAGUAGGUAGAGGAUGAUGUCCUCCACUGCUACAUCUUGCUGAUACACAAACUGCAGGCAGUCCUGGGCGUGUUGUACUUGAGGUCUGAGGAGAUUGAGGAAGAUCCGCUCCAUUGUCUUCAUCAGAUGUAAAUUAAGUGCCACAGGCCGGAAAUCAUCCAGCUCACUGGGCCCCGAAUUGUGGAGAAAACACGAAAAAAUGGAUAGUUCGACUCAGUCUUGGUUGUUCUCAGAGACAGGAGCACCAUGUUCAUCCUUUGGCCAGUUGAUCUUCUUUCCGUCUCGGGUCUUCUUUGUUCUGCUCUGUUUUGCCUGUCUUCUGAGAUGAGAACUGAGCAACGAGCACCUUUAAAAGGUCUCUUUCAAGCGCUUUGAGAACUGUCAGGAGGUUGCAAAAGCUACCUUUACUGUGGUAACAGCAGAAAGCCCCCCUUUACCUUGUCAACAGAAAGCAGAUCAGUUGAGUGAAACAGUUUUCUUCCUAUUUUUUGACCUGAUCCAUGGCAACAGGCAGGCUAUUUCCUCUUUUUCUCGGGCUGAUUUCCGGUAAACAACGACCUUGUUCCUCUUUUUAACCUUCGCUGGACAAUUGCUCCAUAUCCUUCACUGAACAUGUUCAAAACAUACCUCUCCUUUUCAGCCUGUCUAACACAUCUACUUUUAUUAAAACAAUCAUUAUUUCAUUAAUUCAGUACAUAAGUGCUUGAGCCUUUGAUAAAGAGAAAACAAUCAAUCAAAUCAUACAAUUACAUAGCUCUUAUGUUAUCUGUUUUACUUAAUACAUUUAAUGUCCAAAUUAUCUAUUAAUUUGUGGAUAACAUGGAAUAUGGAUAAGCUCACCCCACCACCGAUUUUUGAGGUAUUUUGACAGUACACACCUUGAAUGACAGUAUAGGGCUGCAACAUGGCUUUAUACAGUGACAGCUGGCACAAAUCCAAUAUUCUCUUUCACCCUGUUUUGGUGACUGUAAUUCAAGUACUCUGAAAAAUGUCUUUCUUCCUCCGGUCCUUUUUAUCAUCCUUACUUAAUUUGCCAGCACUUUCUUUCGCUGAUGCGGAGGAAGUCCCAGCGGCGACUUCGCCCACCAACAAAUGUGUGAAAGGAUAAGUUAUUCCACAAAGAAUAUAACCACAGCUAUCAAGGUAAGAAAAGACGUACCUUAGCGAGCUAACCGCUAGCUACAGGCUAUGAACUACAAACAUCUUAAAAAAGCCUAACUUAGUUUGUUAAAUUAUGUGGACUACUCAGAGCUGAUUCUAACAUCUUACUGUUCAGUGGUUACUAUUUCUUUUCUGUUUCUGUUGCGGUUGCAACAUAGUCUGUGUUUUUUUUUUCUGCUGUUGUUGAACCUUACCUUCAAACUAGAAUUUAUUGUUUAAAGCUAAACAUGCUAUAUGUAUUUAUGUAUAUAUGUGUUGCUAAAACACUUGUCUAUUUUAGAUAUCACUGGGUGUUGGAAAAGAAAAGACUGAAUUAUUGGAUUAUUCCUGUAGCUGUGCAGCUGGUAAAGCAAUCAUGCAGUUGCACUUCUUUACCAGACACAACUCCCAACUCAAGCUACCAACUGUUCCUCCUGCACUGGCCUGCACUAGUGAUUUACAAAGAUGGCACAGACCAUGAACGCAGGGGAUACAUCCUGAAUCUGUCAGCCACGUGGUGGUGCGGAAGCCCAAAACUAUGGGGAAAAGAUAUCUGCACUCCACACUUUCCAGAGCUUACACAGGACCACUUCCAGAUCCCGACAUUCUGGCAUCAGGAGAAAAACUACGCCAGCUGGAGUCCCAACCACUUAUCGCUCUGUGUCUCAGGUUGCUCACCUCAAGGUUAAGGAUGGUCAUGCUAUUUUGAGGCGUUCACAUGCAUACUACUGGCAGGUACAGGGUCAGCUGGCAAUCACCGGAUUGGAAUGGUGCAACUUUGUCACGGACACGUUAACAACAAUAACUGUUGAGCGGGUGUGGCGUGAUGAGUCUUUCAUUAAUCAAAUGAAAUCUACACUGGACUUAUUUUACUUCAACACCUUCAUUGAUGUGUUCAAGUCAUUGCAAUAAAAAAUAUAAAAUGUGUAACUUACCCUUUUGUUCCUUUGCAUUUCAAAUAUUCAAUCUCAA